GUAGGAGCGAGGCUUGCCCGCGAAAGCGGUGGGUCUGUCAGUAUUAAUGUUGACUGACCCACCGCUUUCGCGGGCAAGCCUCGCUCCUAC
rnacentral:antisense_RNA from 1 species